rnacentral:tRNA from 1 species
GUUGGGGUGGCAGAGCCCGGUAAUUGCAGAAGGCCUAAACCCUUUACUCAGAGGUUCAAGUCCUCUCCCAAACU